AUUGGCUUCGCUCAAGUUCAGGGGCGAUGUUGAGAUGCGAUGCCGGUCUGCAAAAGCCGAAAGGUUUUGCCUUCAGGAUAGCGUCCAACUCACCUGCACUCUUGUGCGAAGCCGGCCAACAACAGUUGUUUGUGGCUGACGAGGGCAGGCGGGUAGGUAUUCAGCUCUUCGAGUUGAAACUUAUAGCCGUCAGUCUGGAAGUCUGCAAACGACUGAGGAUAACUGGCAGCACAGGCCUUCGCCUUGGGCCCCCCUGUCCGUUUGGGCACCGCUUCAGGGACUGCGUGCAGUGUCUGUUGACGGCUGUCUGCUCGGCCGGGGGCUAGGUCACACUUUGUGCUGUAGUUGUUGGUGUUCAAAUGGCUGCAUCC
rnacentral:rRNA from 1 species